GAGCUGAAUUUCUAGGAGAGGAGCGUCACUGUGGGUUAAAAUGGUCAGAAAUGCUUCACAGAGAAAGUGAGAAAUAUGCUGGGCUUUGGAAAGGAUUAGGAAUUGCAUGGUGAAUUCUAUGCGAGAGGAAUGGAAUGAGCAAAAGCUUAGCUGUUGAAGGUUGGUGUCUGAGUCAGUUUGUCUGGAAGGGAGGUCUGUCCAGGGGAAUUGUGAAGGCAAGGUGAAGCUAGGCUAUGCUUGUUGCCAAUAAUGUCAACUGUUGUGCAACUAUAUUUGUGCAACUGUGAAGACUCAUUUUACGUAGGAUGAAUUUCUUUUUCAUCUUAGAUGUCCCUGCCAUAUCACAAGUGCCCAAUCUAAUGCUUAGACCAAAAGCCUGGAACAUGGUGGAGCACAGUAUCAAGGUUUAGCAGUGGAUUCAGCAAAGUUUAGAUGAUAGCAGAAUGGUAUCAAGAAACUUUGCAACCUGAAGUGGAGCAUGAGCUAGAACAGAAAGACUACCUUCCAUCCAUCCGAAAGAAGCUACAUACGGCAACUGAAGUAUUCCUAGAGAUUGUGCAGAAGAGACUGCCCUGAAUUUAUCACAGCCUACCUGAAUCUAGACCACAAUUUUCCGGCCUCUUCUUAAUCACAGCUUUAAUUCCACAGCUCUAAUAGCAAUAAAAUUAUUGCUAUUGUGAAAAACA
rnacentral:lncRNA from 1 species